rnacentral:RNase_P_RNA from 1 species
GGACAGGUGAUCGCGGCUGCAAGUGUCGAAAGACCGCAGGUGAGGAAAGUCCGGGCUUCACAGGGCAGGAUGCCGGUUAACGGCCGGUGGAGGAAACUCUAAGGAAAGUGCAACAGAAAUAUACCGCUAUAUGUCGUUAGUUCCAAGGGAACUGACGACCUGCGCAAAUCCCUACGCGAAGCGUCUUGGAAUGGAAUUUGUUCCGUGGGUUCAUUUGGAUCUGACGGCAUGUAGUAAGGGUGGAAUGGCAGUGUAAGAGACUACCGCCUCGCUGGUAACAGAGAGGGCACAUGUAAACCCCAUUCGAAGCAAGACCGAAACAAAGCGAUGACGUGGCCCGCCAGCUUUAGGUAGGUCGCUUGAGGCGAUUGGCGACAGUCGUCCUAGAUAGAUGAUCACCCAACGACAUAACCCGGCUUAUCGUUCUGC